AAAUAUGUUUGAGGUCCUCCAUGAGUUUCCUCGGCUAACUACCCCAGGCAUGAUUGCACAGGACUUUCACAUUUUACAUCAAGAUGCUGCUCCAAAACUGUUUGAAAAAUGGCUCCCUUGGUAUACUGACAGGAUCUUGCUUUUUGCGAAGCGAGAAGCAAAGCUUCCAUGUACAGCUGAAGAAAUGACAGAAGAUGCAAAGGGAAAUCUUGCACUAAAGCUGUUACCUG